AUUCCGUACUUCGUAUAUUUUGGAAUGGAUCCAAUGUAAUCGUUAGUAAGGAAAACAAUGUGAAAGGAAUUAUUAUAAAGUUCCUACCACCAAAUUAAAUGAAGGGGUAACAAGGUCCAAAUUUUAAAGAAAAACAGUUUGAAUCUCCUUAUUCGAAGGUGGAAAACGGAAAGAAUCAACCAUUAAUUUGCAAGAAAAGACUUUUCGUUUUUCUUCUUGUUCCUCAAAUGUCAUUUAUUGUAGGGUAAGUCAAGACGCAACUUGUGUUAGUAAAACCAAGCUCCUUGGUAAAACCGUUGUUCUGAACACAGUUAAUAGAAGGUAAGUUUCAAUCUUCAUGCAAACCAGAACAGAAUUUUUUCGUCAGAACAAGAAGUUGAAAGAGAUCAACAUACAAGUAAAAGGGCGUGAGAAACUCUUCCUCCGACCAAGGAGGUUGUUUUUUUAACCUCCUUGCUCCGACAGUUCACACCGACCUACUUACAUAUAACAAAAGGUAAGUUGAUAGGUGAUAAUGAUGAAUGAAUGAAGACGUCUAUAGUGUAGUGUCUUUCACGACUCGACGGUCAGACUGUACUGUCGGCUUUAACAAACGUUAGCGCUGAUGUGUUGCAGGACAUUUUGGACAUUCAAGUCACAGCGAGUUGUGAACAAUAGAGUGUGCACCAGAGUCCUGGACGUGACAUUCUAGACACAGAUGUGUAUUACAAUCUUUGGCUUUUGUCUGUUUCGUUGCAAAAUACAGGAAACCAACAUGAGUUUGCCAUAAAAAAACACCAUCCACGUUGUCACCAGUUAGCGAGAUUGAUUUGCUGAUAGACAUUAGUUCGUCAAUCCGAACACCAGAUGUUGUUUUGUUGUAUAAAGGGCUAAUUUUACAGGGACAGUGGUAUUGGGAUUUGACAUUUCUAGUAAAAAAAACUUAUUUCGAAUAGCAGUAUUUGAAUUUAUUUGGAAGUAUUUGGCAAUAUUAUUAUACACAAGCUUCAGGCAUUGGUGUUCUUGUUCUUGUGAAGGAGCGAUAUUACAACCUAUAUACUAUAAAAGUCUAUUCAAUAUUGUUACUGUAUAUAAUUUAUUGUAUAAACUACUCUAUAUACAAAAUGCGUCUUACUUAGUUGAAACCAGAAGGUUAGGAUAAACGAACGUAGUGUUACUGUUAGGAUUAACAAAAUAUCGUCAACAGAACUGAACGACACACACACACACACGUAUAUAUAGAACUGAACGACACACACAGAUACAUGCACACACUUCAGAACAACACAACUGCUGGCAGACUGUUCUUCCUUCGACCAAGGAGGCUAUACUUGUAAUUAACCUCCUGCUCCGACACUUCAAACCACUGAGCUUCGAUAUAUUGUACCUGCAUGAAGACUUUCCCGA